rnacentral:sRNA from 1 species
ACUAAACCCAAAUUCGAGAUGGAAGAGUUGAAGGAUUUGUGGUUAACUAUUGGGAACGAUAUGGCCCUCAACUCUGCGAGGUCCAAGAGCAACCAAAUUUGAAGCCCUGUGAUCCGCUACUAUCAACGCUCUGUAGCGAAUGUUCUGUACUCCAGGGAAUCUACAAGCACAGUGUCUAACACAGACAUGGAGAUGAUAGAUUCUGCACUCAAGGGCAUUCUCCGCAGAACAAAUGGGAAGAAGGUCCUGAAGGGCGACCUCAAUGAUGCACCACCGGUUAUGCUUCUGUUGAUCCACCUGUGUGGAUACAGGAAGUGGGCACACACCAACGAGAAGAAGAGGGCGCGAGGAGCCCUUUGUGUAGGUGGUGUUGUGACACCAAUUCUGAUAGCCUGUGGUGUACCUCUCACGUCCCUAGGGUUCGAUCCGAGGAUGAUGGACUUAGAUCACUUGCGUCGUUGUGAGUUUCUGGAGCACGACAUGGUCGACGAUUUCUAUCACUACAAAUUCGAGCACUCCUUGACCCGAACAGCCAACAUUCUGCUUCCCUGCACUGAAGCCACAACCAUACUCCAUGGCGAAAACAUUGACUUCAAGCCUGAGCGUGAUUGUCUCUACUUUGAGAGCGCUCCACCGACUGAUGACAACGUCCCUACAACAGAACCUACAGGGGAUGAGAUUGCUGAGAAAGAUGAGGAUAGGGAGGAGGAGUAUGAUACAAGCAUGUAUCAUUUCAGUGAGCAUGUACCUCCAGCGUGGGAGAGCAAGAGCUUGAGUGAAGCUCAGAGAAACAACAGCAAGUUGCAGAAGUGGUGCAAGAAACAAGAUAGCCUACUCAUCAAGGGCUUCAAGGCCAUCAAGUUUCUGACAGACAAGCUAAGCUGCUCCUCUUCCACCACAGCUAUUCCGCAGGGACAACCUCCUCAAGACAUGCCCUUGAGGAGAUAUGACGCGCCAAAGCCAAGCCAAGUCACCACAGGCCUGAGCCUAGUGACCAAGUAGUCUCACAAGUCCCUGCGAGGCAUUCAUCAUUCGAGCCUUGGGAGUUCGGGAGAAAGAAAAAGGCUGCACUGGCUCGGUCUAGCAGCAAGAGUACACGACUUCUCCAGUCUUGAAGCUUACGCGACCACGAUGCUGGCCGCAGAAGAAGAAGAGAGGUCGAGUAUCAUCAGAGCGGUGCUGGCCACGACGAAGGAGCAGAGGUCGAGUACCCCCAUGGCGGAGCUGAGACACAACAAGGAGAUUCUUCAAUGGCCUGGGAGCAAUUACUGGCAGCUAUUGACGACCAACUCCGCUCCUUUUUCUACUGAUGUAAGCACAUCACUUCACCAUUGUAUUAUACAAUCUCCUGUUUCUAUUUUGUUUCUGCGAUGUGUUUUGUCCUGAGUACUCUCUUCCAAGUUUGGUCACACAGUGGACUGUGUGAUUUAAGUUUGGGGAAGGGCUCAGGAAGUGUGUAUUGCAUUGUAUAUAAUCUUGAGUCUGCAUUCAUCAAAGGCAUAGAAAAAACCAAAAAAAAUGAAAAAUUUCAUAAAAUGAUUUCACAAAAAUAGAGUGUUCAUGUAGUUGCAUUACAUUUAGGAUCGAGUUUAGAGUGUUUCAUUUAGGAUUGUUGCAUAUGCAUAGGGGAUAAUGAUGAGAUAGCCUUGUAAGCAUUUUGGUUCACCAGAUAAACUCACUGUGGUCGAGUAGAACAUUCUAGUAGAACAAUCUAGGCAUGGUGCACUUUUACUUCAAUUUCAUUGACUACGCAUCAGACAAUGCUUACAAAAGUAACCGGUGGUGUGCCGUGCUACUCACUAUGCUUAAUAGUAUUCAUCCCAACUCUCUUGUAAAUCCCUAGAACUAAGCAAGCAUUAUAAUCAGGUUUGAUAAGUUCACCUAAGUAAUGGAACCUAGCACGCAUCUAAAUACUAGGCUCAUCUAAAAUAGUUCCAGUAUUAGAUACCUAUGGUGGGCAUACCUAAUAACCUAAAAUCAAGUUCUAGCUAUUUACUCUAGAACUAACUAGAACUAGCAUUAAGAAUAAUCAAAGAUAAAGAAUUCUAAAUAUAUUAUCCUAACGGGGGUUUUGAUCUACUAAUUCAUCCAAAUCCCUAAUGAGAAUCCCUAAACCCAACAAGAGAACUACUCAAGCAUGAUCAUAGAAGAAUAAAACAUGAUUGAAUAAGAAAUCAAUAAUGAAAUUAAAAAGAGAAAAGAGUUUAGAAGAAUCUUCUCUAAAGGGAGUCUCCACAGGAUUUUGCUCCCAAAAAUAAAAGAGAUAAUGAGAGUUAGGUCUAA